rnacentral:rRNA from 1 species
AGUGAACGCUGGCGGUAGGCCUAACACAUGCAAGUCGAACGGCAGCACAGUAAGAGCUUGCUCUUACGGGUGGCGAGUGGCGGACGGGUGAGGAAUACAUCGGAAUCUACUUUUUCGUGGGGGAUAACGUAGGGAAACUGACGCUAAUACCGCAUACGACCUACGGGUGAAAGCAGGGGAUCUUCGGACCUUGCGCGAUUGAAUGAGCCGAUGUCGGAUUAGCGAGUUGGCGGGGUAAAGGCCCACCAAGGCGACGAUCCGUAGCUGGUCUGAGAGGAUGAUCAGCCACACUGCAACUGAGACACGGUCCAGACUCCUCCGGGAGGCAGCAGUGGGGACUAUUGGACAAUGGGCGCAAGCCUGAUCCAGCCAUACCGCGUGGGUGAAGCAGGCCUUCGGGUUCUAAAGCCCUUUUGUUGGGAAAGAAAAGCAGCAGGUUAAUACCCCGCUGUUCUGACGGUACCCAAAGAAUAAGCACCGGCUAACUUCGUG